CUAAUUUGACUGUAGGCUUUGUGUUGCUAUAAUUGUACAAGUAUAACAUUUAUAGGUAUUUGAAUUUUUAAUUCUUUAUAAACUUUCUAAAGCUUACAAACCCUAGCCGUCCCAUUUCACCUCUUUUGUUUUCUCAAACACUCUCUCUCCCCUCGUCUGCAUUCUUCAUGUAUGGUCUCUGCUUCCUCAGUCUCUCUCUCUCCUUCCUCUUUUCCUCCAAAUCACUUUCUUUCCACUCUCCAGUCUUCUCCUAUCCUCCUCACUGAUUCCUUCUUUCAAACCAUGAUUUUCCCUCGUCCCUUUCGAAUCGGCACCCCUCCAAAUUGGAAGAUUCUAAUCCGGAUUUUCCGAUCUCUCAUAGAUCUUGAAGCUGCAGGGUCCAUUAAAAUCUGAAAUUUUAUGUACCCAAAAUUGCAGUGUGCAGAUUAGAGCAAUGCAGGAGUGUUCAGAGCAAAGAAGAAUCUAAAAAUGCAGAUAAAUCCCAUUUUUUUUUUUUUAUCUUGAUGUAAAAUCCAAGGUUCCCAAAUCAGAAAUCCCAAACUUUUAUAAAAUCCAAAUCAAUGCAUGUAUGCAAACGGCGUGGUCGUCUGCACUGAACCGGAAAAAUCGAACCGAAAAAAAAAAAAAAAUUGAACUGAACCGAACCGAAAUUUUCGAUUUUAGCAAAAAACUGAACCGUUUUGAACCGAACCCAGCCCUAUUUACUACAGUAGAUAUUGAUUACUUUCUAA